UACGGGGGGGGGCAAGCGUUGUUCGGAAUUACUGGGCGUAAAGGGCUCGUAGGCGGCCAACUAAGUCAGACGUGAAAUCCCCUCGGCUUAACCGGGGAACUGCCUCUGAUACUGGAUGGCUUGAGAUUGGGAGAGGGAUGCGGAAUUCCAGGUGUAGCGGUGAAAUGCGUAGAUAUCUGGAGGAACACCGGUGGCGAAGGCGGCAUCCUGGACCGGCAUUGACGCUGAGGCGCGAAAGCUAGGGGAGCAAACGGGG
rnacentral:rRNA from 1 species